ACCUGGUUGAUCCUGCCAGUAGCAUAUGCUUGUCUCAAAGAUUAAGCCAUGCAUGUCUAAGUACGCACGGCCGGUACAGUGAAACUGCGAAUGGCUCAUUAAAUCAGUUAUGGUUCCUUUGGUCGCUCGCUCCUCUCCUACUUGGAUAACUGUGGUAAUUCUAGAGCUAAUACAUGCCGACGGGCGCUGACCCCCCUCGCGGGGGGGAUGCGUGCAUUUAUCAGAUCAAAACCAACCCGGUCAGCCUCCCUCCGGCCCCGGCCGGGGGGCGGGCGCCGGCGGCUUUGGUGACUCUAGAUAACCUCGGGCCGAUCGCACGCCCCCCGUGGCGGCGACGACCCAUUCGAACGUCUGCCCUAUCAACUUUCGAUGGUA
rnacentral:rRNA from 2 species